UGGCUCAGGACGAACGCUGGCGGCGUGCCUAAUACAUGCAAGUCGAACGCUUCUUUUCCCACCGGAGCUUGCUCCACCGGGAAAAGAGGAGUGGCGAACGGGUGAGUAACACGUGGGUAACCUGCCCAUCAGAAGGGGAUAACACUUGGAAACAGGUGCUAAUACCGUAUAACAAUCGAAACCGCAUGGUUUCGUUUUGAAAGGCGCUUUACGGUGCCGCUGAUGGAUGGACCCGCGGUGCAUUAGCUAGUUGGUGAGGUAACGGCUCACCAAGGCCACGAUGCAUAGCCGACCUGAGAGGGUGAUCGGCCACAUUGGGACUGAGACACGGCCCAAACUCCUACGGGAGGCAGCAGUAGGGAAUCUUCGGCAAUGGACGAAAGUCUGACCGAGCAACGCCGCGUGAGUGAAGAAGGUUUUCGGAUCGUAAAACUCUGUUGUUAGAGAAGAACAAGGGUGAGAGUAACUGUUCACCCCUUGACGGUAUCUAACCAGAAAGCCACGGCUAACUACGUGCCAGCAGCCGCGGUAAUACGUAGGUGGCAAGCGUUGUCCGGAUUUAUUGGGCGUAAAGCGAGCGCAGGCGGUUUCUUAAGUCUGAUGUGAAAGCCCCCGGCUCAACCGGGGAGGGUCAUUGGAAACUGGGAGACUUGAGUGCAGAAGAGGAGAGUGGAAUUCCAUGUGUAGCGGUGAAAUGCGUAGAUAUAUGGAGGAACACCAGUGGCGAAGGCGGCUCUCUGGUCUGUAACUGACGCUGAGGCUCGAAAGCGUGGGGAGCAAACAGGAUUA
rnacentral:rRNA from 1 species